GAUGAAGAACGCAGCGAAAUGCGAUACGUAAUGUGAAUUGCAGAAUUCAGUGAAUCAUCGAAUCUUUGAACGCAUAUUGCGCUCUCUGGUAUUCCGGAGAGCAUGCUUGUUUGAGUAUCAGUAAACACCUCAACUUCCAUAUCUUUUUUGAAAUGGGAGUUGGACUUGAGUGAUCCCAACGCUUUUCCUCACCGAAAAGUGGCGGGUUACUUGAAAUGCAGGUGCAGCUGGACUUUUCUCUGAGCUAUAAGCAUAUCUAUUUAGUCUGCCUAAAAAACAGAUUAUUACCUUUGCUGCAGCUAACAUAAAGGAGAUUAGUUCUUGUGCUGACUGAUGCAGGAUUCACAAAGACGGCUUCGGCCGACUUUGUAAACUCGAUCUCAAAUCAAGUAAGACUACCCGCUGAACUUAAGCAUAUCAUAAGCGGAGGA
rnacentral:misc_RNA from 1 species